UGAUUCUUUUUAGGGGAAGGUGUGGUGUAAAGGAUGUUCCGCCUAAUAAUUUACUUUCGUUAUGUUGGUGUAUAUCUGGUUUAAUAUUAUCGUUGAGUAAGUGAGUUUGUGUAGUUUUAUUUAAGCCAAGUCUAUGUGCUGCUUAUGAAAGUAUUCAUGCGUUACAUUUAUAAGGUUUUGGUUGUAAUACGUAAAAUAGUGAGGACUUAAU
rnacentral:rRNA from 1 species